rfam:Trichomonas vaginalis G3, whole genome shotgun sequence.
AAUGUACUAUCACUGAUACCAUAAAGGGAGUCCAUGUAUUAGACAGCAGGUCGGUGCCCCUAAAAGCAGGUAUCCGCUAAAGAGUGUGUUAAAACUCACCUGCCGAAUACUAGGGCCCCGAAAAUGAAUGGCGCAUAUAGUACUACCGAUCUCAGACAUCAGUUCUAUUGAACUGAGAGUAGGGGGAUGUGGACAUUUUUGUGAAGGUGCAAUGUGAGUUGGACUGGAAGAAUGUCUAUUACAGAUCCUAAUUGAAGUAGCGAUUAUCCAGGCUUGUAUCCUGGGGGCUGAUGAGGAGUAGGGUUUCUGGACAACUUAAACAGAUCCAGAGUUAGUCGAUCCUAAUCUCAAUAAUGGGAGAAAGGGAGUACAGUUGAUAUUCUGUAACUGACAACAGUUCGCGGCAACGCAUACUAUUUUUCUCCGCCAAUCUUAUACCGUUGGUAGGGAUCUCUUUCCUACAUGACAGUACUAAUACCCAGGGAAACUGGUCAUCAGGCGAACUGCGGCGUUCUGCUGGCAAAACAUAGCUUCGGUUAUGUCAAUGGCUAUUGGAUUGGUCCAUGAAGCGAAAAAUAGUUUACUGUGUCACUCGUACCGAUAACCGCAUCAGGUCUUCUAGGUAAGUAGCCUAUGGCCAUUGAGGCAUGAUAGUUCAGGGAAUUCGGCCAAUUAGAGCUGUAACUUCGGGAUAAAGCUUGGCUCUGAUGAAAAUCAGAACCGAUUGUUACGCGGAGAGCCCAACUGUUUAAUAAAAACGUAGUGUCGCGCUGUGGUAGUAUAGCCAGUGAACGCGACAUGAAUCCUGCUCAGUGCUGUGUCUGUUAAUAUGGUUCAAGCCAACGAAGCACCGGUAAAUAGCUGGGGUAACUAUGACUCUUAUCAAAGUAGCGAAAUACCUCGUCACUUAAUUAGUGACCUGCAUGAACGGAGCUAUGAGGUUCUCACUGUCCCAAACUGUCUCUCAGCGAACCAACUGUAGUGGGAACGGUCACUAGAUAUCCAGCGGGGAAAGAAGACCCUGUAGAGCUUCACUUUGGUCUAGUCUUGUAUAGUUCCUGCGGGGGUGUAGACUAGG